UGUGUACUCCCUCCGUUCCAAAAUACUUGACUUCCAUUUGUCCAAAAAUGGAUGUACCUAUAUACUAAGACAUAUCUAGAUACAUAUAUAUUUUGACAAAUAGAAGGCAUGUAUUGUGCAACGGAGGGAGUAGAAU
rnacentral:pre_miRNA from 1 species